GACGCUGACCUUGUGUUUGGCGCCCUGGCGGCGGGAUACGUUUUCAGGGACCAAGGUUGAGAGGUUCAGGGCUGUGCUUGGAGCAUCGACGCCACACAUUCACCAUCCAUUCCUGUCACGAACAGGCAAUUCCAUCCUCAGGCAGCUCAAGUGGACGAAGUUCUCCAUGUGCCUGGUGGGUUUGGGGGAAUCAAACAAGCCCGCUUUUUCUCGGAGAGACUGCCGUCCUGCCCGAGCUUGAUACUCCUCCCGAUUUUAGCACCCAAAAAUCACCCCGAUUCUUGAGACGCAUCAAGGAUAUUUACUAGCCAGACUUCCAUGGUGUCUACAUGAAAGGUUUAUGCGAAGGAGGACGCCACCCUCACUGUCAGAGCGUGGUCGAGGCUUUUGACAAGCGCCAAAGGGGUGAUUACAGUUCCCUAGGAUCACCCCCGCAUUGAUCUGCCACAGGAGAACUAAAUCUCUCGUGCCUCUUGAUUAUUGCUAGUGAGAGCAGCAGGAGCUUGAUGGUGCAGAACUACCACUUUCUGUUCUAUCUGGAAGCGUCCCAGUUGUCACCGCACCAAAUGCCACGAACUUUCAAUUGCUAUCUAGGGCAUAAAAUGAGUAACUAUCACAAAUAUUCUUUUG